UUACUGAAAAUUAUUUUCAAUAGAUUCAAUAAGACUUGUGUUUAAUAAAAAUCGGUACACCAAUCUUGUGAUAAUAUAUAAUUACCAUGGUCUAAGUGAAGAAAAAAAUGCUGACAUUCAAAAGAAAAUUGAUAAUUUUACAGAAUUUCAAAGACAAUUUUACGAUUUUUACGUUGACUAUUUAAUAAUUAUGCAUAAUAAUGGUCUAAAUUUGGGCAUAAAAGUAUGGUGUAAAGAAAAAUAUAAUCCCACCGAAGUGGUUCUAGAGUCAUAUACGCAUAAUGAAAAAAAAAUAAUUUCAAUAACCCAGAUCGCGAAAUUACGAUAUUUUAAUAUUCUACCAAUGUUAAUCAUAUAAUAAAAAUAUUUUUUAAAGAUUAA